ensembl:lncRNA
AUGCAGCAUACAUCUGCUCUUGAACCACGUGGAUGUCCUGUCUGGGGACAGCCACAGCUCCAGCCAUUUCUCCUUGUCCAGGAGAAUGGGACCAGUGGUCUGGUAGAGGAUCCAGUCUUCAGUGAUCUGGGAACUGGAGUGCAAGUAACCCUUCGGAGGAGGAGAGAAUGCUGUGUACAGAACGCCUCCACGUGUAGCGCAACAGUAAGGAAAGUGCAUGCCACCAAACUCUGUGCUGGGAGCUCUUUAGCAGGAGAAUGCUGGCCCAUACAUCGCAACAACAAGGAAAUCGUAGGGGUAACAACUGAGAGUCGCUAAUUUAGGAUAAAAAUGACCAAUAACAGGGAGCUUGCUUAUAAAUAUAAGCCUUCUCCUUAUCUUUCUGGUAUAUUAUUUACUUGGUGCAGAAAAACAAGUUUCUCCCUGAAUAUCCUGUCCCAAGGGAAGGGGUCGGAUGCACAGCUUCUUGUUCAGCCAUUCCCAGUUUAAUCAAGGCAGCAGCGGUAGGAAGGUGUUUGCCAUGCUCCUCGCCAUUAUGCUUCACCUGAAAGCACCACCUGUUAGGGCGGACAGGUCUUUCUGCCACCCGGCCUUUCCUCUCGCUGUUGAGACUGUCAGCUGUACAUGUCAUUUGUGGUUGAGUGGCACCACCUGACAUUGGGCUAUGCUCCGGGAUGUCAAACCAGUUGGCAGAGAGGCUCUUGGAGAUACUAGUUGGCAAAUUGUGUCAUUGUGCAGAUGUGCCUUGACGUCCUUGACAAAUAGGAAUGAGAAGAACCUGACCUGCAAUCUCCUGUGAUAUGAAAUUGGGAGCGUUUGCUGGUAGAUCUAUUUAGCAGAGCCUCUGACACGAGCAGCCUCAGGACCGACAAACACUUUACAGGAGCGUACAUGAAAUAUCCUGAAAAGUGUGAGGAAGUUGGUGGCUAUCAGACAUCCGGGGCCCAGCUGCCCCCUGUGAAGUCACUUGGGCCUGGGCAAUAGGAAUGCAAAACGUGUCCAAAUCAACAGGCUAGAAAUCGCGCUCAAGUGGAAAUGGCUUUACAAGGUUGGAGUUUCUCCUUUUGCCAACCUGUCAUUUAUUGUCACUCAGAAUUAGGUUCUUCCAUUCACACACAAGAGAAUAUGGGAUAUAUGGACUGUCAGGAGCUUGGGUCCAGACACGUAGGAAUAAUUGAUUAAGACUAGGAUUGCCGAGUUUCUCUGAGAUCGUUAGCACCUGGAGACGAACAGAAACAGCUCCACAUUUCACUGACUCAGGAUCUAUCUAGCAGGCUGCUUAACAAAGAGCAUUGUGAUAUCUCCAUCUUGUGGCGCGAGGCUAGAUUGCUUUCCACCGGUAGCAAAGAAGAGAGGAGACGGAGACGUACCGUUGGAAUCUCAAUUGCAGACCGCCACUCACAAACUGUAGCCUCCAGCCCAGAUCCAGUGCUUUAGUUUGGGCCAAAUUUUAAUUUUCACCGUAUAUUCUUCUGCACAUGUGGCCCAGUAUCUCUUUCUUUCUUUGUUAGCUUUUGGGGGUUUUUUUUCUUAUGGCUGGACAUUGCCAGGAAUUGCAGAAGCUUAACUCGGCUUUGUUGGGAGCUGCCAGUUUCUUGCCAUGCUCCGAAGCAGUUCUGCAGAAAAGCUAACAUGGACAGUUUUGCUACCAAAGUACAGGUGACUUUUUUUUAAAAAUAGCAUUCGUCAAACAAAUUAGAAAGAAAGGACUUUCAGUGAGACCACAUCAUUACCUCAUGGAUAUCUAACAAAUCAUCUUCUGUGAUGUGAUUUUGGAGUGUCAUUUCAAGGAUGGGCAAUCAAAGUGACCAUGAAAUUAUUGCAGAAAUUAUAUUUUGCAGGCAAAAUAAAUAAGUAGCCUCACUGGGACUCCUCA